rnacentral:tRNA from 1 species
AGGAAAGUAAGCUAAGUUUAAGCUAUCAGGUUCAUACCCUGCCUAUGGGCCUAAGCCCCUUUCCUA